UUUUUUCAAAACUAACAACAUGAUGUUCCCACCCUUAUAAACGACUAGCCAAACCUUCCUACUGAAACCCUCCAUCCCAGUCCCAACCCUCCCUUUAGACUAUUCCUUUUGUGCAGUGUUAUUGAUGAGCAGCCACCCUUUUGCCACCAACUCAGGUGGCAAUGGGGUGGCGCGCUGCUAAAGCAGGCGCUGGUGCUGUUCCUGACAAUUGUUAGAGGUCAUAGAACUGCAGCUGCUGCUAUCUUUUAUAUCUUAGUCCCAAUUCAAGGUAAGGAAAUUGCCAUUUUCUUUUGGUGGUGGCGUUUUCUAGUCCUAGUUACGAAGGGCAACUUGUAUCCUUUGGCAUUUAGACUUCCCUUUAGUCUCUCUUCAUGAGCUCGAGGAAGUUAAUUAUAGUUCAAAUAAUCUCAAGGGCAAGCAGAAAUUAUGCUUAGCCUAUUCGUACUAAUUAGUUCAACUUAUAAAGUGUUUUAAUAAAUGUUGUGUUUGAGAAGAACUUAAUGAACAUGUUUUAUGUAUUAAGCCUUUGGUUAUAAUACUGAUGAAAGUAUUUUCUAUUAAGGUUUGGUAGUGGUUUUGUGUUUACAUUGUUGUUUGAGCUGCCGAAGGAGUGGAAAGUGACUUGGUUCGUCAUAUUCACGUAUAGAUGUUGUAAUAAAGUCCAUAAAUACUGAAGAGGAAUUGAGUUAUAUGUAAUGUUUUUGAAAAUAAAAGGUUGAUAAUUAACUUCAAUUAUUCCUUUAUGUCGUCAUUAAAAGUGUACGUAGUUCCGUGUUUCUCAGGAUGAUUAUUGUUAAGCCAAGUUAAUUAGUCACUGAUAAUCACAUCUGCACAUAUAAAUUGAAUGAGGUUUUCUCUUUAUCUCUUGAUUACACUCGUAGAUCUUUCAUUUGUGCCAUGAUAAAAAAAAAUUCUUCUCUAGAUUCGGACGCUAUCACAAUUUCUUAAAUGUAAUUAUUAUGCUAAGUUUUGAAGAAUGUGCAAUUAUCAUUUACGUUAGAAGAGCGAAAGACUUAGAGCUUACUAUAUAAUAAGAUAAUCCAAUAUGAAUAGAUAAAACCUAUGUUUGACUGCAAAGUUAUUCUUUCUCUUUCUCAUUCAUAUGUCUUAAUAAGUGAUUUUCGUAACUAUACCUAUAAAGGCACUCCUAAUUGUAAUUAGUCUGAUAACGUCUGUGUCUUUAGUUAUGCGUGCACUCACAGACUUAGCAUGUCACAUUUUCAUAAUCAUAUCAUAUACUAUAUUAUAAGUUUGAAGGUGAAAGUGCAAAACUAAAAGACCAAAUAUCCAUUAAAAGCUAAGUGAAAUUUUUGCCCUUCAUUUAAGCACCACACUUAUGACAUUUUUAUACCAAAUGGUAAAAAUCUCUCGUAAUAAAUUGAGCCUUUAAUUCUCUACUAUACUUUAUUUGAAAGCAACAACAACAAACCCAAUGCAUUUUCAUAAAUAGAGUUUGAAGAGGGUAUAGUAUACGCAGAUUUUAGCCCUGCCUUAAAGAUAGAGAGGUUAUUUCAAAUAGACCUCCGACUCAAGGAACCAUGGAGAUAAAACAGCAAGUAGCAAAUAAUAGUAGCAACAAUAAAUUAAGUUAAGGGGCGCGAAUGACACAACAUGUAAUAGUAAAAAAACCAUGAAUAAGAUAAUACAAAAAUAAUCCUAGUGUUUACCCUUAAAAUUGGAUAACAAUUAAAACUAUAAUGUGAUUUUAAGGAUACGUGAUUUCACCUAAUACCAAUUGAUAAAUAUAAAUAAUAGUGAUAGAAAUUAACAAACAACAAAGUAAAGCAAACCAGUGUUGAUACCAGAAUAAGAAAAAAUAAGGCAAGCUGAUGAACAAGAGAGUUUAAGCUAAAAAGAGUAUUAUGUUGCUUUGAUAUGUGAGAAUCCAAGUCCCCUACAAAUGAUUGGAAUCCCUCUUUAUAUAGUAGAGGAAUUUUAAUUAUGGUAUAACUCUAAUUACAUAAGGAAAUCUCAUUACUAGCUAAUUAACCAUUCUUGAUUUGAUCUAUUCCAAGAUUCCCGCCAUGAUCUUCGGACAGUCACGAAUAUCUCGCAUUUAUGUUAUUAUGCUAUCUUGAUCUUGCUCGAUGUCUAUCUCAUUUGGUCUCGAUCACUACUGCCAUCGAUCUCGACAAGUACCUCGAACCCCAAACUUAGUACUUGGUCCUCGUGCCUCAAUCUGAUCUAUUACGGGAUCGGUAUUCAAUCCUUCACCAUGGUCUCGGCAAAUCAAUAAAAUCCUACCAUAUUUUAACCGUAUAUAGAUAAUCCCCGCAUUUUUUGGAGUGUAAUGGCAGGAAACGAAUUGAGGCUUCGAACUUGCCCUCGAUUUAUCACGAUAUAAGCAUCGUGACGUAAGCGGCAAAGGUGACUGAAACAUCCUAUCGGUUCGUAUACCGAGGUAUUAAAUGCCUAUCAGUUGCUGUCGGCCAUUAUCAAUUCUGAACCGUCAUCUUUAUCGUAUAAAUGCACUUUCCUUCUCUUGCCCAAACUUUACUUUCACUCUCUGCUCUAACUUCAAAGUUCUCUACAUUCUUCAAGUUUCCCACCUUAAAUCUUCAAGCUUCAUUGCUAAACUCCUUUUUAAAACUCCAGAUACCUUAAUCCCCGUUCAUUCUUAUUCAUAAAAAUGGCAAAAACAUCAAAUAUGGGACUUGAGGGUAUGCUUGAAAUCGAAUUCCUAGGUCCGAAACCCGUGAAAUGAAUUUUUAAGUAAAAUUAUUUUCUAAAAAUAUUUAAGGAAAAUUGAAAGGAAAUCUGAUUAGAACACGAUGGUAUCGGGCUCAUAUUUUGGUUCCGACACCUGAUAUAGGUCUUAUAUAUGUUAUAAGUCAUUCUUGUAAAAUUUGGUUAAAAAUGGACGCCGUUUGACAUGAUGCGGACCUAAAUUGCUAAAUUUGAUACUUGAUGAAGUUUGAGAAAAGUUCUUGAUUUUGAGGUUUGAUUCAUUGUUUUUGAGGUUAUUUUAGUAAUUUGAUCGCACGAAUAAGUCCGUAUGAUGUUGUUCAGUUAGUACGUGUGUUUGGUUAGGAGCCCCGAGGGCUCGGAUAUGUUUCGGAUGUGUUUUGGAAAGUUUUGGACUUAAGAAAAAGUUGCAGAUUUCUGCUGUUAGUGCCAGGGAUUUUACCCUUCACAUUCGCAUGGUCCCUCCUACGAACGUGUAAAGAAAAUAUCAUAGGUGCCCAUUUUUCUUCUUCGCAAACGCAAAGGUUGAGAUGCGGACGCGAAGCUGAGGGGGGAGACCCUUCGCGAACGCGUUUUUCCACUCACAAACGUGUAAGGUUGAGGGAGGGGUCACCAAAUUGUUCGUCGCGAACGCGAUCCCUCGAACGCAAACGCGAAGCUCGAGCAGUUCCUACUUUGCGAACGCGAAGGCUUAUGUAGCCUGACCCAUCACAAACGCGAAGGGUCUAUUUCGAACGCGAUGCACAAUUUCGCCUAGUUAUUUUAAAGACCCAAAAACAUAACACUUACGGGAUUUCAUAAAAAUUUCCUAAACUUCUUCUUCUCCAAAGCUCCUAGGUGAUUUUUGAAGCUUCUCUUCACCAUAAACUCUUGGAUAAGUAAUCAUUAAUUUUUUUUCUUUAAUUUCCAUCAACACUCACUAGAUUCCUAGGCCUAAAACAUGUAAUUAAGGGUAGAAAUUAGAGAUUUGGCUAGAGUUAGGGCUUUUUGAUUAAUUGUGAUUUAGACCUCGUUUUGGGGUCGAAUUUUGGAACUAAUUAUAUAUUUCGGCUCGUGGGUGAAUGGGUGAUCGAAUUUUAGUUCGAACCUCAUAUUUUGACCAAGUGGGUCCGAAACCAAUUUUUGGAAUUUUGGGAAGAAUGAUUGAAAAUUAUAAUUGAAUAUUGGAAUUGGAUUGUUUAGCAUUUUUUAAUGUUAUUAAGUCAUUUAUGUAUAGAUUCGAUUGGGUUGGAGCCGAAUUUGAAAGGAAACGCGGUGUUGAGGCUUGAGUUGGCCGUGGAAGUUCGAGGUAAGUGUUCGUUCUAUCCUUAGCUUGAGGAAUUAGGAGUUGAGUCCUAUUUGAUACAUAUUUCUUAUUGAAUACGAUGUAUAGGCAUGGUGACGAGUAUAUAUAAGUUGGUGUCGAGCAUGACCGUGAGUCUUAAAUUGAUAUUUGUUGUAUUCUUGAAUGAUGCUAUGGUUUCAAUAGUGAUAAAUCCUUGAUAUUUAGCAAAGACUUAGUUUAUUUUCGAGAAAUCUACUUAUGAUUGAGUAAUGGUGAUAGCUGAGCUGAGUAAGAGUUAAGUUAAGAUUGGUUAUAGCUGAUUCUCCCUUAACGGGAUAUAUAUACUUGUUCUGUUGGUUUCCCUUGUCAGGAUAGUGUAACUUAUUGUUGAUCCCUUGCGGGGAUGGUUAUUAUGAUUAUUGUUGACUAUAUAUUUGGAACGCGUUGCACGCUACAACAUUAUUAUAUAUGGAUCAGGUUUCACUCUGCAAUAAUAAUAUGUUGGAUCGGACUGAACGCCGCAACAAAUAGUAUAUCAAAUCGGGUUGCACGCCGCAAUAAUUAUAUUACAUUGGAACGGGUUGCACGCUGCAAUAGUGUUAAAUGAUAAGGGAUCGGGUUGCGAGCCGCAACAUUAGUGUUAUUGUGUUGUUGUAGAUAUUGUACUAUCUUUUCCUUACUUCAGUUCAGUUUUUUAUUAGAUUGAUAUAUCCCCCGAAGCAUGUUUCCCCUCCCUUUUAAACUGCUUAUUAAAGGUUUAUUUUUCCGCCAUAUGUUAUAUAAUUGCAUAGUUUUGUAUGGAGUCUGGUCCUAGCCUCAUCACUACUUCGUCGGGGUCAGGCCAGACACUCACUAGCACAUGGCGUCGGUUGUGCUGAUGCUACACUCUGCACUUAUGUGCAGAUAUCGAAGCUGCAUUUGGUCAGCAGCAUUAGCUCGGGAGCCAGCCUUUAGUCCACCGAGACACCGAGGUAGCCUUGCAGGCGUCCGCAGGCCCAACGUCUCCUUUAUCUUUUUAUUAUGUUCUGUUAUCUCAUGUAUUCGAGACAAACAGUGUUAUCUUUCAUUCAAACUGUUGUAUGUAAUACUCUUAGUAGUCCGUGAAUAUUGUGAUACCAAGUUCUGGUUAAAGGCAUGUGUUGGUAUUCAAGAUAUUUUUGUUUUACAUUUAUUUAAGAUUUUCG
rnacentral:lncRNA from 1 species